rnacentral:rRNA from 1 species
AUUGAACGCUAGCGGGAUGCUUUACACAUGCAAGUCGAACGGCAGCGCGGACUUCGGUCUGGCGGCGAGUGGCGAACGGGUGAGUAAUGUAUCGGAACGUGCCCAGUAGCGGGGGAUAACUACGCGAAAGCGUAGCUAAUACCGCAUACGCCCUACGGGGGAAAGCAGGGGAUCGUAAGACCUUGCACUAUUGGAGCGGCCGAUAUCGGAUUAGCUAGUUGGUGAGGUAACGGCUCACCAAGGCGACGAUCCGUAGCUGGUUUGAGAGCACGACCAGCCACACUGGGACUGAGACACGGCCCAGACUCCUACGGGAGGCAGCAGUGGGGAAUUUUGGACAAUGGGGGCAACCCUGAUCCAGCCAUCCCGCGUGUGCGAUGAAGGCCUUCGGGUUGUAAAGCACUUUUGGCAGGAAAGAAACGUCGCGGGCUAAUACCCCGUGGAACUGACGGUACCUGCAGAAUAAGCACCGGCUAACUACGUG